CGAAUGCUUUUCUUGGAUAUGGGCCAGAUAAUUCCCAUUUCGCCAUUGAACUCACUUACAAUUAUGGGGUGGACAAGUAUGAUAUUGGAACUGCAAUUGGCCAUUUUGGCAUUUUUGUUGAGGAUGUGAGCCAUAUCCGAUUCUUAUAUAGAGUCUUGUUGUUACUGUCUUUGCAUUGUUUUGGAUUCUUCUUAGUGAAUGACCUUCUAGGACAUAGUAUAUAUGUUUGUGUUGUUAGGUUGCUAAGACUGUGGAACUUGUAAAAGCUAAGGGUGGAAAGGUAACCCGAGAACCAAGCCAGAGAGCUACUAUUGGAAAUUCACUGAUUUGCUGGUUCACUGAUGAAUGACGUGCAGGACUUGACUCUUAUCAGAGACUCAUUGAUUCACAUCUUCAUCUUUUGGCUGCUCUUUAAGAGUUGGCAAGCAAUAUGGUGGAAGGGUUUAGAGAGUUCAGUGCAAUCUUUGAGGGAGAUGGUGUUCACCAACGAUGUGCAGAAUGGUCUCCUAGCACCCUCUAUAUUUGCAGUAGGUUUGAAAUAGACGCCAAGCUGUCUCACGUAGAUAUAUUGCUGACAUGAAAAAUUACAUGAUUGAAGAUGUAGAUGAAGAUACUGAAGUGCCUUGUGCUAUUUGUGCGGAUGCUUGAAGUCUGCUCCUCCCAUGUGGUGUCCUCCCAUGCUUGCGCCCGUGUACAACUGCUGCUUGUAGUACUUUAUGGCACUUUUGUGUUGCAAGGAUAAUAUAUAUCAUGGAAUGUAAACUAUUAGAAAGAAGCAAUAUAAACCUUUUGAUAUU